rnacentral:rRNA from 1 species
UACGUAGGGGGCGAGCGUUGUCCGAAUUUACUGGGCGUAAAGCGCGCGUAGGCGGGUUAUUAAGUUGGUGGUGAAAUCCCGGGGCUCAACCCCGGAACUGCCUCCAAAACUGGUAGCCUUGAGGUAUGGAGAGGGAAGUGGAAUUCCAGGUGUAGCGGUGAAAUGCGUAGAUAUCUGGAGGAACACCCGUGGCGAAGGCGGCUUCCUGGCCAUAUCCUGACGCUGAGGUGCGAAAGCUAGGGGAGCGAACGGG